GACGAACGCUGGCGGCGUGCUUAACACAUGCAAGUCGAACGGAAAGGCCCUGCUUUUGUGGGGUGCUCGAGUGGCGAACGGGUGAGUAACACGUGAGUAACCUGCCCUUGACUUUGGGAUAACUUCAGGAAACUGGGGUUAAUACCGGAUAGGAGCUCCUGCUGCAGGGUGGGGGUUGGAAAGUUUCGGCGGUUGGGGCUGGACUCGCGGCUUAUCAGCUUGUUGGUGGGGUAGUGGCUUACCAAGGCUUUGACGGGUAGCCGGCCUGAGAGGGUGACCGGCCACAUUGGGACUGAGAUACGGCCCAGACUCCUACGGGAGGCAGCAGUGGGGAAUAUUGCACAAUGGGCGGAAGCCUGAUGCAGCAACGCCGCGUGCGGGAUGACGGCCUUCGGGUUGUAAACCGCUUUCGCCUGUGACGAAGCGUGAGUGACGGUAAUGGGUAAAGAAGCACCGGCUAACUACGUG
rnacentral:rRNA from 1 species